rnacentral:rRNA from 1 species
CCUCCAUGCUUCCAAGAAAAGCAUCUAGAGAGAGAAGUAGUGCCCGUACCGCAAACCGACACAGGUAGAUGAGGAGAGAAUCCUAAGGCCGGCGGAAGAAUUGCAGUUAAGGAACUAGGCAAAUUGACCCCGUAAGUUCGCGAGAAGGGGUGCCUGCGAGAGCAGGCCGCAGAGAAUAGGCCCAAGCAACUGUUUAGCAAAAACACAGGUCUCUGCUAAAGCGUAAGCUGAUGUAUAGGGGCUGACGCCUGCCCGGUGCUGGAAGGUUAAGGGGAACACUUAGCGCAAGCGAAGGUGUGAACUUAAGCCCCAGUAAACGGCGGCCGUAACUAUAACGGUCCUAAGGUAGCGAAAUUCCUUGUCAGGUAAGUUCUGACCCGCACGAAUGGCGUAAUGACUUGGGCACUGUCUCAACUGCAAAUCCGGCGAAGUUGUAGUGCGAGUGAAGAUGCUCGCUACCCGCGAUUGGACGGAAAGACCCCGUAGAGCUUUACUGUAGCUUAGCAUUGAAUUCCGGUAUUGUCUGUACAGGAUAGGUGGGAGACUGGGAAACUAGGGCGUCAGCCUUAGUGGAGUCAACCUUGGGAUACCACCCUGACAGUACUGGGGUUCUAACAGGACGCCAUGAAGCUGGUGACUGGACGUUGUUAGGUGGGCAGUUUGACUGGGGCGGUCGCCUCCUAAAAAGUAACGGAGGCGCCCAAAGGUUCCCUCAGAACGGUCGGAAAUCGUUCGUAGAGUGCAAAGGCAGAAGGGAGCCUGACUGCGAGACCUACAAGUCGAGCAGGGACGAAAGUCGGGCUUAGUGAUCCGGUGGUACCUCGUGGGAGGGCCAUCGCUCAACGGAUAAAAGCUACCUCGGGGAUAACAGGCUGAUCUCCCCCAAGAGUCCACAUCGACGGGGAGGUUUGGCACCUCGAUGUCGGCUCGUCGCAUCCUGGGGCUGUAGUAGGUCCCAAGGGUUGGGCUGUUCGCCCAUUAAAGCGGCACGCGAGCUGGGUUCAGAACGUCGUGAGACAGUUCGGUCCCUAUCCGUCGCGGGCGUAGGAAAUUUGAGAGGAGCUGUCCUUAGUACGAGAGGACCGGGAUGGACUGACCUCUGGUGCACCAGUUGUUCUGCCAAGAGCAUGGCUGGGUAGCUAAGUCGGGAAGGGAUAAACGCUGAAAGCAUCUAAGCGUGAAGCCCCCCUCAAGAUGAGAUUUCCCAUAGCAUAAGCUAGUAAGACCCCUUGAAGAACACAAGGUUGAUAGGUCAGAGGUAGAAGUGCGGUAACGUAUGUAGCUGACUGGUACUAAUAGGUCGAGGGCUUGACC